rnacentral:rRNA from 1 species
AGGACGAACGCUGGCGGCGUGCUUAACACAUGCAAGUCGAGCGGAAAGGCCCUUCGGGGUACUCGAGCGGCGAACGGGUGAGUAACACGUGAGCAAUCUGCCCUUAGCUUCGGGAUAGCCCCGGGAAACCGGGAUUAAUACCGAAUAUGACCUCGGCCGACAUCGGCCUUGGUGGAAAGUUUUUCGGCUAGGGAUGAACUCGCGGCCUAUCAGCUUGUUGGUGGGGUAAUGGCCUACCAAGGCGACGACGGGUAGCCGGCCUGAGAGGGCGACCGGCCACACUGGGACUGAGACACGGCCCAGACUCCUACGGGAGGCAGCAGUGGGAAUAUUGCGCAAUGGGCGAAAGCCUGACGCAGCGACGCCGCGUGGGGAUGAAGGCCUUCGGGUUGUAAACCCCGUUUCAGCAGGGACGAAGCGAAAGUGACGGUACCUGCAGAAGAAGCGCCGGCUAACUACGCGCCAGCAGCCGC